rnacentral:lncRNA from 1 species
UCCUCGUACUGCUCUUGCCAAUUCAAGUACUAUUUUAAUAUCUAAGUUCAAUUGUUUGGGCCAAUGCAUAUUUUAACUAAAUUCAGCCCACUAAAUCAUUCAGCCCAUUAUAUGAUUUAGGCCUUGCUAAAGGAAUGCUCAAGAAAAGCCCUCGUUAGGCCUCAAAAACAGAUGGAAUACCCGAAAAAGGCAAAGGCCGAUCUACGAUUGCCGGUAAUCCCUUCGCCCCUUUACUGCUUUACUUACUUUAGGCUGUUCUCUUUGCUUUUUUAGAAUCCCCUGCUUGACUUUCUUUGCCCAAGAGCUCUGGGAUGAAUACCCGUCCUUAGAGUGAUAGUAGCUGUGAUGGUGUGAUUGAAUCAGUAAUCGCUCCUACCCUUGUGAAAGAUUUUCUAACUUUUUAAUCCUCCCUUGAUCUCGUAAGCGGUGUCACUGCUUUCACCGAACUCCAACAGGCUACACAAUGUCUUACAGAGCUUACCCAGUUAGAAAGUCUCAAGAGAACUGAAAUCGACGGGAAAGCAGAAUCAAUCUUAGAGAUUAGACUUGGCAUGAAAAAAGGAGUAUAGUAAGAUGACAGGGAUCUCACACGGAAUGAAUUGGGCCUUUUUCUCACCCAUCACAUCAUCUCUUGGAGCUCCUCCCUUCUCAACACGCUCCACCUCCAGAAUAUCUAGAACCGGUUGGGAUUGGGGUCCAACAUCGCGCAAUUCAAUCUGCGACGUGACCAUGCACGUGGAUUUAUCCAAAGAAGGUCUAGUCCAAUAAUACGACAGAAGGUAUGGGAAGCGAGUUGAGUCGACUCACAGCCCUAUCAGUACGCGUGCUGGUAGAAAUUAAAUAGCCGUCUAACAUGGAGAGAUGCUCGGAUUCGUCAGUAUGUACGGGAUUGAGUGAACGUACGAGAUUGAGUAAUAGAGAUAAGUGCCAGUAAUUUUUUCUAGCCAAAUUUACACACGCC